CGAAGGGGGCUAGCGUUGUUCGGAAUUACUGGGCGUAAAGCGCGUGUAGGCGGUUGUCCAAGUCGGGUGUGAAAGCCUUGAGCUCAACUCAAGAAAUGCACUCGAUACUGGGCGACUAGAGUGCCGGAGAGGAUAGUGGAAUUCCCAGUGUAGUGGUGAAAUACGUAGAGAUUGGGAAGAACACCAGUGGCGAAGGCGGCUAUCUGGACGGUUACUGACGCUAAGACGCGAAAGCGUGGGGAGCAAACAGG
rnacentral:rRNA from 1 species